AGAGUUUGAUCCUGGCUCAGAACGAACGCUGGCGGCGUGCCUAAUACAUGCAAGUCGAGCGAGAAAGUGGGGGCAACUCCACGAGUAAAGCGGCAAACGGGUGAGUAACACGUAAGUAAUCUGCCCUUAGGCCCGGAAUAUCCUUGCUAACGCGGGGUUAAUACCGGAUGUGGUCCUGUGGUCACAUGACUAUUGGAUUAAAGAUGACCUCUAUUUAUAAGUUAUCGCCAAAGGAUGAGCUUGCGGCCCAUUAGCUAGUUGGCGGGGUAACGGCCCACCAAGGCUUUGAUGGGUAGCCGGCCUGAGAGGGUGACCGGCCACAUUGGGACUGAGAUACGGCCCAGACUCCUACGGGAGGCAGCAGUAGGAAAUUUUGCGCAAUGGGCGAAAGCCUGACGCAGCAACGCCGCGUGAGGGAUGACGGCCUUCGGGUUGUAAACCUCUGUUGAGUGAGAAGAAACUUCGCAGGACUAAUAAGCCUGCGGACUGACGGUAUCACUUGAGGAAGCCCCGGCUAACUACGUGCCAGCAGCCGCGGUAAUACGUACGGGGCAAGCGUUGUUCGGAAUCACUGGGCGUAAAGGGAGCGUAGGCGGGAAUGUAAGUCAGGAGUUUAAUUCAUAGGCUUAACCUGUGACCGGCUCCUGAAACUGCGUUUCUUGAGUAUGGGAGAGGAUGAUGGAAUUCCAGGUGUAGCGGUGGAAUGCGUAGAUAUCUGGAAGAACACCAGUAGCGAAGGCGGUCAUCUGGCCCAAUACUGACGCUGAGGCUCGAAAGCUAGGGGAGCAAACAGGAUUAGAUACCCUGGUAGUCCUAGCUAUAAACUAUGGAUACUAGAUGCUGGAGGAGUCAAUCCUUUCAGUGUCGUAGCUAACGCAUUAAGUAUCCCGCCUGGGGAGUACGCUCGCAAGGGUGAAACUCAAAGGAAUUGACGGGGGCCCGCACAAGCGGUGGAGUAUGUGCUUUAAUUCGAUGCAACGCGAAGAACCUUACCUGGGCUUGACAUGGGAAUGAAAGUCGCCAGAGAUGGUGGCCCUUCCGCAAGGAACAUUCUACACAGGUGCUGCAUGGUUGUCGUCAGCUCGUGUCGUGAGAUGUUGGGUUAAGUCCCGCAACGAGCGCAACCCUCGUCCGUAGUUGCCAUCAGGUAAUGCUGGGAACUCUACGGGGACUGCCUGGUCUAAACCAGGAGGAAGGUGGGGAUGACGUCAAAUCAUCAUGGCUCUUACGUCCAGGGCUAGACACGUACUACAAUGGUCGGCACAAUGGGCUGCGACACUGCGAGGUGAAGCAAAUCCCACAAAACUGGCCUCAGUUCAGAUUGGAGUCUGCAAUUCGACUCCAUGAAGUUGGAAUCGCUAGUAAUCGUGGAUCAGCAUGCCACGGUGAAUACGUUCCCGGGCCUUGUACACACCGCCCGUCAAGCCAUGGAAGAUGGGAGUACCCGAAGUCAUCGUUCUAACCGCAAGGGGGAACAUGCCGAAGGUAAGACCAUUGACUGGGGCUAAGUCGUAACAAGGUA
rnacentral:rRNA from 1 species